CUGAUACUCAAUGAAUGGUUUUUGGUUGCUAACCUCCAUGGACUUGCACGCGUUCUUCGCAACUCACCUAUUCUAGAGGAGCCGAAUCUCCUACUUUUAGAGGAGCCUAAAGAGGUGGUCGAAUCUAACGGAGAACAUUAUCAACUGGAACAUCCCCUAUUAAUGGAGACCCUUAAGGAAGUCAAAGUCAAUUGUGAAAGACAAUAUAUGUGGGUUCAGGAAAUAAUAAAUAUUUUGAUUACUUUUGGUAUAUCGCCUGAGAUAAUUAUUGUCAAAGAGAGCCAAAUGCAUCCAGAUGUCAUUUAGCUAUUGGGCUUUUAAAACUCCAAAGAUUUAUUACUCCCCUACUUUUCUUAGUGGACUGAAUCAUGUAUGUCAACUCAGCAAUGGAGAUAUAUUACCCCUGCACAAGUGCACCUAUUUUCUUAUUGUAGUUUGCAUACAUAUACAUAGACCGUGAGUUGUAUUCUUAAACUUGCAUGAAAAUAUACAAGGCGACAUAUUGACAGAUCUUGACAACAAAAUGUAUGUUUUAAAUUUGAUU